rnacentral:rRNA from 1 species
UACGUAGGGUGCAAGCGUUGUCCGGAAUUAUUGGGCGUAAAGAGCUCGUAGGCGGUUUGUUGCGUCGGCUGUGAAAUCCCGAGGCUCAACCUCGGGUCUGCAGUCGAUACGAGCAAACUAGAGUGUUGCAGGGGAGACUGGAAUUCCUGGUGUAGCGGUGAAAUGCGCAGAUAUCAGGAAGAACACCGGUGGCGAAGGCGGGUCUCUGGGCAACAACUGACGCUGAGGAGCGAAAGCGUGGGGAGCGAACAGG